AUACCAAUGAGGAACUGAACAUGAAUG
rnacentral:piRNA from 1 species